rnacentral:rRNA from 1 species
UACGGGGGGGGCAAGCGUUGUUCGGAAUUACUGGGCGUAAAGGGUUCGUAGGUGGCUUGCUAAGUCAGACGUGAAAUCCCUCAGCUUAACUGGGGAACUGCGUCUGAUACUGGCGAGCUUGAGUGCAGGAGAGGAACGCGGAAUUCCAGGUGUAGCGGUGAAAUGCGUAGAUAUCUGGAGGAACACCGGUGGCGAAGGCGGCGUUCUGGACAGUGACUGACGCUGAGACACGAAAGCGUGGGGAGCAAACAGG